rnacentral:rRNA from 4 species
AGCGAAAUGUGAUAAGUGGUGUGAAUUGCAGAAUCCCGUGAACCAUCGAGUCUUUGAACGCAAGUUGCGCCCGAGGCCAUCAGGCUAAGGGCACGCCUGCCUGGGCGUCGUGUGUUUUAUCUCUCCUUCCAAUGCUUUCCCAGCAUACAGCUAGGUCAUCAUUGUUU